AACAGGAUUAGAUACCCUGGUAGUCCAUGCCGUAAACGAUGUCUACUAGCCGUUGGGGCCCUUGAGGCUUUAGUGGCGCAGCUAACGCGAUAAGUAGACCGCCUGGGGAGUACGGUCGCAAGACUAAAACUCAAAUGAAUUGACGGGGGCCCGCACAAGCGGUGGAGCAUGUGGUUUAAUUCGAUGCAACGCGAAGAACCUUACCUGGCCUUGACAUACAGAGAACUUUCCAGAGAUGGAUCGGUGCCUUCGGGAACUCUGAUACAGGUGCUGCAUGGCUGUCGUCAGCUCGUGUCGUGAGAUGUUGGGUUAAGUCCCGCAACGAGCGCAACCCUUUUCCUUAUUUGCCAGCACUUCGGGUGGGAACUUUAAGGAUACUGCCAGUGACAAACUGGAGGAAGGCGGGGACGACGUCAAGUCAUCAUGGCCCUUACGGCCAGGGCUACACACGUGCUACAAUGGUCGGUACAAAGGGUUGCUACACAGCGAUGUGAUGCUAAUCUCAAAAAGCCGAUCGUAGUCCGGAUUGGAGUCUGCAACUCGACUCCAUGAAGUCGGGAUCGCUAGUAAUCGCGGAUCAGAAUGCCGCGGUGAAUACGUUCCCGGGCCUUGUACACACCGCCCGUCACACCAUGGGAGUUUGUUGCACCAGAAGUAGGUAGUCUAACCGCAAGGAGGACGCUUACCACGGUGUGGCCGAUGACUGGGGUGAAGUCGUAACAAGGUAACC
rnacentral:rRNA from 1 species